rnacentral:rRNA from 1 species
AGUGAACGCUGGCGGUAGGCCUAACACAUGCAGGUCGAACGGCAGCACAGUAAGAGCUUGCUCUUACGGGUGGCGAGUGGCGGACGGGUGAGGAAUACAUCGGAAUCUACUUUUUCGUGGGGGAUCACGUAGGGAAACUUACGCUAAUACCGCAUACGACCUACGGGUGAAAGCAGGGGAUCUUCGGACCUUGCGCGAUUGAAUGAGCCGAUGUCGGAUUAGCUAGUUGGCGGGGUAAAGGCCCACCAAGGCGACGAUCCGUAGCUGGUCUGAGAGGAUGAUCAGCCACACUGGAACUGAGACACGGUCCAGACUCCUACGGGAGGCAGCAGUGGGGAAUAUUGGACAAUGGGCGCAAGCCUGAUCCAGCCAUACCGCGUGGGUGAAGAAGGCCUUCGGGUUGUAAAGACCUUUUGUUGGGAAAGAAAAGCAGCAGGUUAAUACCCCGCUGUUCUGACGGUACCCAAAGAAUAAGCACCGGCUAACUUCGUG